AGUGAACGCUGGCGGUAGGCCUAACACAUGCAAGUCGAACGGCAGCACAGUAAGAGCUUGCUCUUACUGGUGGCGAGUGGCGGACGGGUGAGGCAUACAUAGGAAUCUACUUUUUCGUGGGGGAUAACGUAGGGAAACUUACGCUAAUACCGCAUACGACCUACGGGUUAAAGCAGGGGAUCUUCGGACUUUUCGCGACUGAAUGAGCCGAUGUCGGAUUAGCUAGUUGGCGGGGUAAAGGCCCACCAAGGCGACGAUCCGUAGCUGGUCUGAGAGGAUGAUCAGCCACACUGGAACUGAGACACGGUCCAGACUCCUACGGGAGGCAGCAGUGGGGAAUAUUGGACAAUGGGCGAAAGCCUGAUCCAGCCAUACCGCGUGGGUGAAGAAGGCCUUCGGGUUGUAAAGCCCUUUUGUUGGGAAAGAAAAGCAGCAGGUUAAUACCCCGCUGUUCUGACGGUACCCAAAGAAUAAGCACCGGCUAACUUCGUG
rnacentral:rRNA from 1 species